ACAGACAGACAAACACAGACACACACAUACACAUAAAGCAUUACAGACACACACACACACACACACACACACACACACACACACACACACACACACACACACAGACGGAGAGAGAGAGAUGCACGUACAAAGCAUUACAGACACACACACACACACACACACAUUCAGACACACACACACACUCCCAUCCCUUCUCUCCGUGGCCUGCACAAAUGCUGCAAUCAUACGUAAAAGGAAAAGAAAUGCAAUUACAAACAGCAGCCUUGGUCGACCGUGUUGUAGCGGAGCAAACUUCAUUCUAACAGUGGAUCUGGUCUUCUGAGUGAUGGUGGUGGGUGGAGCAGGUGCCACGCGCAGGGCGGACACGAGCUGCGUGUGUGUCUGAGUAGUCCCACAUAUACAGUAGAUCCUACUGCUGGUGAUGUCUGUAAAGUUUGGAAAGGAAUAUUUUUUAUAUUUUUGUUUUCCUCAAAAGGAUACAAAGCGAAAACGUUCUAUUAAAGAAAUAGAGACGAAACAGAAACUGAAGACUGAUGCCUUUAUCUGCUGCGGAACGUUAAAUAUAUGCACGUAUUUUUCUAGAUUGAUUUACGCAAGAAGGGAAUGACCAAAUGUACAUCUCGUCUAUUUUUGUAUCUCUUGGAUCAACACUGGCUGAUUCUGGUACACUAACGUGUUGACUGGCCUUCCAGAACAGUCCGUAUAGCUGAGAGGGGAGCAUUGCUAAACUCCUUUUAACCAGUAAACCAUUUCAGACGGAUCAAAGGCAGGGAAAUUAUAAUUUUAUGAAAAACAGAAAUCUUAGUUUAAUAUUGACUGAUUUUUAUCCUUUUAAAUGUUUUUUCUUUGUAAUUAUGUGGUCGAACCAAACAACAAUCCAACCUCCCCACACACCAUAUCUUUUAUUUUGUACGUUUUUGGUAUUUUAUCUUCGACAGACACUGGAUGGCACACGUGAAUGUGAUGGAAGCUGAAUUAAAGUAUAUUUUUGUUGACAUUUCAUGUCCGAUCCAACAUGCAUUAAGUCAUAGAGUUGGACUAGGGCUUCCCCUGAGCUGACUUUACACACUGUACGGUACAAGCACAAAGGUCUUUAAAGAGUCUGGUUUCCAAUUCCUAGUUUUGGUACAUUUCAUAAUAUAACUACUUUCCUAUACGGAUGCUUCUGAAAUACUUUGAAUCAUCAUUAAUGGAUUUUUUUUUUAUUGUUUUGCACAACCACGCUGCACCGAGACGGUGUUUAUUCGAGUGUUCAGAAAACCUUCAUCUCUGUAUAUGCCAAUCCACUAAGCGCUAUAUAUGCAUGCAUAAUUUAAAAUAAUCAAAUCAAUCCAAUGAAAUUGUUUAAUGAAAUUGUAAGCAGUGUUUUUUCAUUGUAACCAUUUUUUUCUAUUGUAUUACUUUUCUAAACAGGGAUCAGAGUCUAUCUUGAUGUUGCACGUGCUUUCUUAGUUGGGCAAAAUGAACCCGCUGUCAGCUUCUCGAACAUGCCACAUAAUUGAACAAAUUAAAUAAAGUGAAUGAAUGAAUAUACACCCAACCGUCUAGUUUAUUGUUCCUCUGAGAGAAUGGCGUAUCAUGUGGCCCUGACCUAGUUUUCUAUUGG
ensembl:lncRNA